rnacentral:lncRNA from 1 species
CACACAUUCUCAGUGUCCCGGCAAGAAACUCUCAUAAGAGCGGGAAGAAGGCCAGAGAAGGCCAAAGCCUUCAGACAGAGGCUUUGUAGCAAAGCUCCGGGGGAGGGAGAGAAAUGAAGCAAUUGCCCUGGGCAUACUGGGCAAGUGACUCAGCACGCCUGCAGGAGAGAAGCAGCUUGCAAUUCCAGAGGAGUUAAGGUUGGUGCUACCAUGGGGUUGGUGAAGAGGAAAAAGGAAGGUUCACUUCCUUUUCAUGUGCUCAAGAAAAAGCACAUGGUCUGGUGUGCAAAGAUGGAAUUGGGGCCUUCUCCAUCCAGGAAUUUCCGGUUUCUCUGUACACGCCUAGGGUUAAAGUCUGUGAAAAAGCAAAUGCCCAGCAGGUGGCAGCACCAGAUAACAGCAGUGAAAACAAGGCUCAGACGGUAGGCUCUUUGGAGGCAGGAACCAAUCCUGCUAAAAAGGAUUCCUUGCACACGUGUCACAUGACUGAUCAUAAUCACAGCAGAAGGAAACUCAAGAAAUCACCCAUAUAGUCCCUGCCCUUGGGACCAAUGAGUGGUGCAAUCCUGAUACAUACUCCAGAGAGACUUGCUGAUUUGAUAAAGAAGAUAAAAAGGAACCUGCAACACUCUCAGGGAGCUGUAUUGAGAACACUUGUUUUCAGACUACCUAAUCCUGGUUUUUCAACCAGGCAGUGCCACGAGUCAGCCCCAGUUUUGCUCAGUUAGCACAGUUAGCAAGAACCAAAACAAACCUGAUCAACUGGAUUGUAAGUCCUGAGCCUGGUUGGCCAAGAAGAUUAGGCAGAUGUUGCUGAUACAGAAUCGAAGAGUAUGCAGGCAGCUGAUCCAACACAGAAUCAAAGAGUUGGGAUGUUGUACUGGAAAUUGCAUCAGAUUUGCUGUCAAGACAUGAGUCUGAAUCUCCAUUCUCUAGUGUGGACUUUGAGCAAAUCACUCAAUUUCCCUGUGAUGCUGUUUCCUGUGACCUCAAACAGAAGACUCUAUUUCUCUCAGAUUCAAGUUCCUGUGAAAAAAUUGAAAUAUAAAGGUAUUGUGAGGAUAAAAUGAGAU